UCCAGGACAUGGGCGCCCUUGGCCACCCCGCCGAUCUUCCCCACGGCGGGCCGGAUCCGGAGGCGGCAUGACGCGC
rnacentral:tRNA from 1 species